AAGACCCAGAGAAAGCAGGAAGAUGGCAAAAAUAAUCCUUAAAGUAAGAAGGAGGAUUAUGCUGUCUUCCAGAUUUCCUGGGAACAGCAGCUGAUGUGGAAGAAGGCAAAGCAGGAGGGAAAAUGUCAGGGUUGAAAGGAGGACUGGAAAUUGGAUAGGAAGAAGGAGAAUCUGAAACAGAAUGUGAAGGUGGAGAGGAAGAGAUGGGAAUAGAGAAAUCUGGCUCAGAAAGGGAAUGCUUAAGAGGAGGAAAAAAAUGAAAAGAAGAAUGAGAAACAGGAGGAGUAGAGGUGACAGAAGAAACACAUUUGAAAGGAAAAGAAGUUUCAUGAAAGAUAACAUCCCUGGACACAAAACACUUUUUGGAACUGGGAUCAUACAGUCUAUAACCCUUUUUAGCAAAAGGAUACCCCAGGAAAACACAUGAAAUGGCCCUAGGUUUCAACUCGUCCCUUUGAGGAAUUGGGACACUAGCAUAUGCAAGGCAGCCAAAAGUCUUUAAAUGGGAGUAAGUGGGUGUCUUACCAUGCAAGAUUUCAUAAGGGGAUUUGCCAUGAAGAAGCCUGGAGGGUAUUCUGUUAAUAAGAUAGGUAGCAGUGAAUAGGCAAUCUCCCCAGAAAGAGAUGGGUAAACCAGAUUGGAAAAGUAAAGCUCUACUAGUUUCAAGAAGAGUCCUAUGUUCUCUCAACAACACCAUUCUGUUGAGGAGUAUGUGGGCAAGUGGUUUGGUGUAUAAUGCCAUGUUGGCAAAAAAAGGAUGCACCAGCAAUACUAGAUCCCAAUUGUAAAGCAUUGUCACCCCUAAUAGUUUGAACAUUAGCACUAAACUGGGUCUUAGCCAUACAGAGAAAAGACUUAAGCGUGCAGAAAGCAUUGCUUUUAGACCCCAACAAAUGUGUCCAGGUUGCUCUAGAAAAGUCAUCAAAUAUUGUGAGAAAAUAUCUAGAGCCAGAAGAGGUGGGAGUGUGAUAAGGGCCCCAAGUGUCUACAUGAAUCAAUUGAAAAGGAAGUCAUCAACUAUUAUGAGAAAAUAUCUAGAGCCAGAAGAGGUGGGAGUGUGAUAAGGGCCCCAAGUAUCUACAUGAAUCAAUUGAAAAGGUCUAGAUGCACUAGUUGUGCUUUCAGGAAAGGGAAGUCUAGUUUGCGAAGUCUAGUUUGCCUAGCCAUAGGACAG
rnacentral:lncRNA from 1 species